GAGGCAGCAGUGGGGAAUCUUAGACAAUGGGGGAAAUCCUGAUCUAGCCAUGCCGCGUGUGUGAUGAAGGCCUUAGGGUCGUAAAGCACUUUCGCCUGGGAAGAUAAUGACGGUACCAGGUAAAGAAACCCCGGCUAACUCCGUGCCAGCAGCCGCGGUAAUACGGAGGGGGUUAGCGUUGUUCGGAAUUACUGGGCGUAAAGCGCGCGUAGGCGGAUCAGUCAGUCAGGGGUGAAAUCCCGGGGCUCAACCCCGGAACUGCCUUUGAUACUGCUGGUCUAGAGGUCGAGAGAGGUGAGUGGAAUUCCGAGUGUAGAGGUGAAAUUCGUAGAUAUUCGGAGGAACACCAGUGGCGAAGGCGGCUCACUGGCUCGAUACUGACGCUGAGGUGCGAAAGUGUGGGGAGCAAACAGGAUUAGAUACCCUGGUAGUCCACACCGUAAACGAUGAAUGCCAGUCGUCGGGUUGCAUGCAAUUCGGUGACGCAGUUAACGCAUUAAGCAUUCCGCCUGGGGAGUACGGUCGCAAGAUUAAAACUCAAAUGAAUUG
rnacentral:rRNA from 1 species